rnacentral:rRNA from 1 species
UACAGAGGGUGCAAGCGUUGUUCGGCAUUACUGGGCGUAAAGCGCGUGUAGGCGGCUUGAUCAGUCAGAUGUGAAAUCCCUCGGCUCAACCGAGGAACUGCAUCUGAUACUGUCAGGCUUGAGUGUCGGAGGGGAUGGCGGAAUUCCUGGUGUAGAGGUGAAAUUCGUAGAUAUCCGGAGGAACAUCCGUGGCGAAGGCGGCCAUCUGGAAGUCAACUGACGCUGAGACGCGAUAGCGUGGGUAGCAUUCAGG